GACAGAGGGUGCAAACGUUGUUCGGAAUUACUGGGCGUAAAGCGCGUGUAGGCUGCUUCGAAAGUCGGAUGUGAAAGCCCUGGGCUCAACCUAGGAAGUGCAUUCGAAACUUCGAAGCUUGAGUUCUGGAGAGGAAGGCGGAAUUCUCGGUGUAGAGGUGAAAUCCGUAGAUCUACGAAGGAACGCCAAAAGCGAAGGCAGCUCUCUGGGUCCCUACCGACGCUGGGGUGCGAAAGCAUGGGGAGCGAACAGG
rnacentral:rRNA from 1 species